GACGAACGCUGGCGGCGUGCUUAACACAUGCAAGUCGAACGGAAAGGCCCUGCUUUUGUGGGGUGCUCGAGUGGCGAACGGGUGAGUAACACGUGAGUAACCUGCCCUUGACUUUGGGAUAACUUCAGGAAACUGGGGCUAAUACCGGAUAGGAGCUCCUGCUGCAUGGUGGGGGUUGGAAAGUUUCGGCGGUUGGGGAUGGACUCGCGGCUUAUCAGCUUGUUGGUGGGGUAGUGGCUUACCAAGGCUUUGACGGGUAGCCGGCCUGAGAGGGUGACCGGCCACAUUGGGACUGAGAGACGGCCCAGACUGCUACGGGAGGCAGCGGUGGGGAAGAUUGCACAAUGGGCGGAAGCCUGAGGCAGCAACGCCGCGUGCGGGAGGACGGCCUUCGGGUUGUAAACCGCUUUCGCCUGUGACGAAGCGUGAGUAACGGUAAUGGGUAAAGAAGCACCGGCUAACUAGGU
rnacentral:rRNA from 1 species